rnacentral:misc_RNA from 1 species
AAGCAUGCUGCACAGCUUUGUGUGUUAGCAGAGGACUGUGACCAGCCAGAUUAUGUCAAAUUGGUCAAAGCGCUCUGUGCUGAUCACAAUGUCAGUUUGAUUACGGUUCCGAAUGCAAAAACUCUUGGCGAAUGGGCUGGUUUGUGUAAGAUUGAUUCUGAAGGGAAAGCAAGGAAGGUGGUCGGCUGUGGCUGUGUUGUUGUGAAGGAUUACGGAGAAGAGACUGAGGGUCUGCAUAUUGUCCAAGAGUACGUGAAGUCCCAUUAAAUUCGCGGUGCAUAUGAAGGAAGACCUCUUCCCUCCCUACCAAAAUGAUAAUCCAGAAGACAUUAGUUCUGCAGAUGAUUUUCAGUUUUUA